AAAACACCCCUACGGGAGGCAGCAGUAGGGAAUUUUGCGCAAUGGGCGAAAGCCUGACGCAGCAACACCGCGUGUAGGAUGAAGGAUUUCGGUUCGUAAACUACUGUCGGCAGGGAAUAUAAUGACUGUACCUGCAAAGGAAGCAUCGGCUAACUACGUGCCAGCAGCCGCGGUAAGACGUAGGAUGCAAGCGUUGUCCGGAAUUAUUGGGCGUAAAGAGUUCGUAGGCGGUUAGAUAAGUCUGGUGUUAAAUACUGGAGCUCAACUCCAGCAUGGCAUUGGAAACUGUCUGACUAGAGUGCGGUAGAGGUCACGGGAAUUCCUGGUGUAGCGGUGAAAU
rnacentral:rRNA from 1 species